rnacentral:rRNA from 1 species
UACGGAGGAUCCAAGCGUUAUCCGGAAUCAUUGGGUUUAAAGGGUCCGUAGGCGGUUAGUAAGUCAGUGGUGAAAGCCCAUUGCUCAACGGUGGAACGGCCAUUGAUACUGCUAGACUUGAAUUAUUAGGAAGUAACUAGAAUAUGUAGUGUAGCGGUGAAAUGCUUAGAGAUUACAUGGAAUCCAAUUGCGAAGGCAGGUUACUACUAAUGGAUUGACGCUGAUGGACGAAAGCGUGGGGUAGUGAACGG